CGAAAAACGAUUGUGCAAGCAGCUAGCUGAAGGAAUUAGGGGACCUGUGAAUGCCUCCACCAUUAGAUGAACAGACUGUUUCCCCAUAGGAAAAGGAUGUAGGCACAGGCAGACCAAUGGAAGCACAGGAGCAGCCACCGUCACUUGAGGAGGAUGAGAAGCCCUGCCUGCAGCCCCGUUCACAGAGAGGAAGCAGCUGAAGCUGCUUCCUGAAGACAAGUGGCUGAUUAACAUCUGAACUCCAAUAUUGAGACUUUUUCGCUAUCAUCAUGGGAUCUGUCUUCCUUUCUUAGUCUUCCAUCCUGCAAAGAGAUAAAUUUGGAACAGCCCCUUUCCUUGAAUUUUCAUCUGACAUAUUCCUACUCAGCAUUGAAGAUUCCUAGGAUCCCAAAUAUUGGAGAGAUACUUACCUGCAGUGUGAACAGAAUAUUGUUUAAAAGCCAUGUCAGGUUCCUCAAUCAGUGAAGAUUUGCGUAGUCUGGAAAACCUUACCGUCUCUUACUUUCCUGCAAAAAAAGCCUCUACAUAAACUGUAAAGGAAAGAGAUGUCUAGGAAAAUGAAGGACAUUAUUGUUUUCCACAGGAAAAAUGCUACAUAUUUUUCAUCAUGUUUCUUAAUAAGUACAAGUAUUCGGGUGUUUAUUAUGCAAUGAAUUAGGCCUCCAGUAACAAUUUUUAAGACAGCUGUAUGGCUUCACAGAAUCAUAAAAGUCAUGGACAGUUUAAAUGAUCUAAGAUGAUAUACUCAUUUUUCCAUUCCUCUCCUGGUAAAUGAUUGUUCUCUGAGAGAUGUUUUUCCAGUGCUUUUUCUCAGUUCUGUUUAAAGAAAUCAGACAAUA